rnacentral:rRNA from 1 species
AGGUACUGAAUGCUUAUUGCACCACAUGUGUUUUUCUUUGAAACAAACUUGCUUUGGCGGUGGGCCCAGCCUGCCGCCAGAGGUCUAAACUUACAACCAAUUUUUUAUCAACUUGUCACACCAGAUUAUUACUAAUAGUCAAAACUUUCAACAACGGAUCUCUUGGUUCUCGCAUCGAUGAAGAACGCAGCGAAAUGCGAUACGUAAUAUGAAUUGCAGAUAUUCGUGAAUCAUCGAAUCUUUGAACGCACAUUGCGCCCUCUGGUAUUCCGGAGGGCAUGCCUGUUUGAGCGUCGUUUCUCCCUCAAACCGCUGGGUUUGGUGUUGAGCAAUACGACUUGGGUUUGCUUGAAAGACGGUAGUGGUAAGGCGGGAUCGCUUUGACAAUGGCUUAGGUCUAACCAAAAACAUUGCUUGCGGCGGUAACGUCCACCACGUAUAUCUUCAAACUUUGACCUCAAAUCAGGUAGGACUACCCGCUGAACUUAAGCAUAUCAAAAGCCGGGAGGAA